GACGAACGCUGGCGGCGUGCUUAACACAUGCAAGUCGAACGGAAAGGUCCUGCUUUUGUGGGGUGCUCGAGAGGCGAACGGGUGAGUAACACGUGUGUAACCUGCCCUUGUCUUUGGGAUAUCUUCAGGAAACUGGGGCUAAUACCGGAUAGGAUCUACUGCUGCAUGGUGGGGGUUGGAGAGUUUCGGCGGUUGGGGAUGGACUCGCGGCAUAUCAGCUUGUUGGUGGGGUAGGGGCUGACCAAGGCUUUGACGGGUAGCCGGCCUGAGAGGGUGACCGGCGACAUUGGGACUGAGAUACGGCCCAGACUCCUACGGGAGGCAGCAGUGGGGAAUAUUGCACAAUGGGCGGAAGCCUGAUGCAGCAACGCCGCGUGCGGGAUGACGGCCUUCGGGUUGUAAACCACUUUCGCCUGUGACGAAGCGUGAUUGACGGUAAUGGGUAAAGAAGCACCGGCUAACUACGUG
rnacentral:rRNA from 1 species